rnacentral:lncRNA from 1 species
GGUAGAUGAUAUGUGCUAUCCCCUGGGGCUGGAAAAGUGCUGAUUAAUGUGAGCAAGUUGAGCAGAGUGCCACCAGCACGGUCAAUGGCUAGAGCAAAAUUCAUUUUGUGAAGCAGGCCAUAAGGAGAGUGUGGGAGACACUGUUCAGAAGGAGAUCAGCAGCUUUGUGGCCAAGUGUGAAGAUGACAGUGUUGAAAAUGAAGGAGAAUCUUAGGUCAUAAAUAAUUGCCUUGUGACCCAAACGACGGUUUGAACCAGUGGAAGAGAAUUCAGUAGUGGAAGAGCAGCUAUCUGUUCUCCUGGAAGCAUUCCAGAAGCACUAAAGUUGCCCAUAAAGUGAUGUUUUGAAGACUAGUCCAGCUGUUUCCAGUGCCUAUUUUUCAUUCCUUGGAGUGGACGGCCUCCUUUUUGAAUGUUGCUGCAUGGAGGUAAAUAAGUUAAAUCAUGAACAAAAAUCUCUUCGUAUUGUUUUGUAUCAGUUUUUAAUGACCAGCAAUCUACUAACAAAAGUCUUGUAACUGAUUGGUAGAAUCUUAAAAUGGCCCAGGCUGGAAAGGACCCCAGAAGAUGAUCAGGAACAACCUUUAGAGACUAACAACCUUUCAGACAUAAACAAAGUCGUAUUCAUAAAUGUAGAUAAACAAAAUCUGAUCAGCUUUCUCUGUAACUUUUGGAUCAAUACGCGUACAGUCG